rnacentral:rRNA from 1 species
CAGUCGCCGCGGGAAUACGAAGGGGGCUAGCGUUGCUCGGAAUUACUGGGCGUAAAGGGAGCGUAGGCGGAUCGUUAAGUUGGGGGUGAAAGCCCGGGGCUCAACCUCGGAACUGCCUUCAAUACUGGCGAUCUUGAGUAUGAGAGAGGUGUGUGGAACUCCGAGUGUAGAGGUGAAAUUCGUAGAUAUUCGGAAGAACACCAGUGGCGAAGGCGACACACUGGCUCAUUACUGACGCUGAGGCUCGAAAGCGUGGGGAGCAAACAGGAUUAGAUACCCGUGUAGUCCUGUCUCUUAUACA